GGCUCUUUCUCAUUGAUGGGGAGAGUGCCACUUAGUACUGCCAUCAUGGAGAACAUCCAGCACUUAAACAGCAAACCAAAAGAACCAUUAGUAAGUCUCAGGGAGUAAGGAGCCUAACAGCUGACUGUCGGUGAGUGGACAGAGACAAGGCAGCUCUCCUGCUCUUUCUCGGUUGAUGCUUCCAGCAAAAGGAGUGGCCAAGAAGAAAGGUGUGCUUCCUCACCUCAAGAUCCGGAUUAAAGGUGUGUCUUCCCACCUCAGAGAUCCUGAUUGGAAGUGAUUCUUCCCACUUCAAAUGAAGCAAAAAUCCCUCACAAGUGUGCCACUCCAUUUUCGGGUUUUAGUUAAUUCCAGUUGACAACCAAGAAUAGCCAUCACACUGUCCUACAAAAACUCUUACAAAGAUAUUUGGUGAUCCUGGAGCUACCGACACUGACCCGAAAGAGCAGAAAAUGAGAAUGCAAACCAGACCCGGAAGGAGGCCUUUCAGGAACUGUCCUGGCUUGGGUCCACCAGCGACAUCUCCCGUUGUCCACACUCGCUGGCGUUCAGACUCUCUCGCCAUCACCACUUCCUCCAUUGCCACAUUUCAAAGAGAGCAGAGCAGGUCCUGGGACCUCUCAGGCUGUCUGCGGUCAGCAUCAAAUGGGAAGCAUUACUGCACUGCUGGGAAAGUGCCAGCAUGAGCUGCGGUUUGAAAGGGACUGGGGGCCAGAAAA